AAAGAGCUCGUAGGUGGUUCGUCGCGUUGUCCGUGAAAUUCCCUGGCUUAACUGGGGGCGUGCGGGCGAUACGGGCAGACUGGAGUACUGCAGGGGAGACUGGAAUUCCUGGUGUAGCGGUGGAAUGCGCAGAUAUCAGGAGGAACACCGGUGGCGAAGGCGGGUCUCUGGGCAGUAACUGACGCUGAGGAGCGAAAGCGUGGGGAGCGAACAGGAUUAGAUACCCGUGU
rnacentral:rRNA from 1 species